rnacentral:rRNA from 1 species
AGGAGCAUGUGGUUUAAUUUCGAUGAUACGCGAGGAACUUACCUGGGCUCGAACGUAAGAUGACUGUAGGUGAAAGCUUACAUCUCUUCGGAGCAUUUUACGAGGUGCUGCAUGGUUGUCGUCAGCUCGUGCCGUGAGGUGUCGGGUUAAGUCCCAUAACGAGCGCAACCCCUACCUUUAGUUGCCAUCAGGUUAAGCUGGGGACUCUAAAGGAACUGCCUACGCAAGUAGUGAGGAAGGCGGGGAUGACGUCAAAUCAGCACGGCCCUUACGUCCAGGGCUACACACGUGCUACAAUGGCCGAUACAGAGGGCAGCUACCUGGUGACAGGAUGCAAAUCUCCAAAGUCGGUCUCAGUUCGGAUCGGAGUCUGCAACCCGACUCCGUGAAGUUGGAUUCGCUAGUAAUCGCGCAUCAGCCAUGGCGCGGUGAAUACGUUCCCGGGCCUU